GCCUUCGUGGCGUAGUGGUCAACACACUCGGCGCGUAACCGAGAGGUCCAGGCGAAGUUCGAUUCCAGGCGAAGGCG
rnacentral:tRNA from 1 species